GAUGAACGCUGGCGGCGUGCUUAACACAUGCAAGUCGAACGGAAAGGCCCAAGCUUGCUUGGGUACUCGAGUGGCGAACGGGUGAGUAACACGUGGGUGAUCUGCCCUGCACUUCGGGAUAAGCCUGGGAAACUGGGUCUAAUACCGGAUAGGACGAUGGUUUGGAUGCCAUUGUGGAAAGUUUUUUCGGUGUGGGAUGAGCUCGCGGCCUAUCAGCUUGUUGGUGGGGUAAUGGCCUACCAAGGCGUCGACGGGUAGCCGGCCUGAGAGGGUGUACGGCCACAUUGGGACUGAGAUACGGCCCAGACUCCUACGGGAGGCAGCAGUGGGGAAUAUUGCACAAUGGGCGCAAGCCUGAUGCAGCGACGCCGCGUGGGGGAUGACGGCCUUCGGGUUGUAAACUCCUUUCGCUAGGGACGAAGCGUUUUUGUGACGGUACCUGGAGAAGAAGCACCGGCUAACUGCGUG
rnacentral:rRNA from 1 species